rnacentral:lncRNA from 1 species
AUCACAACCCAGGAAGUGUUGUAUUUUAUGCCAACAACAACCUGACAGUUUUCUCUGUAAAGAAAACAUGACACUUUUCCAAAUAUCAGAGGAGGCGUCCACCGCUCAAGGGAUUGCUGUCCUGUCACUGAACUGGAAGGUCGCAGACUGGCUUCAUGAUUUCUGUGGUUUCACAAUGUGGAGGUGGAGGGGUUUGCACGCUGAAUGCUGUAGGCUAAGGGAAAUCUUCCCCUUCAUCUUGGAAAACAGUGACAGGAGGAAAAAGGUCCUAUGUUGACAGCAGUAACCUCUAGGUUUAAAGACUCUGCCCUAAGCAAGUGCACAGCAGGAGAGAAGCUCCAAAGGCACCUGUGAGCGGUGCACGCCUCCGGACUGGGGCAGGUGUGCCCGGCGUGGCCUGAGCCCCCGAGUGUCCUGGGAGGAUCAGGAGAACAAGGGAGGCAGCGCUAAUGAGAAUACAAGACUGACAGUGAAGACACAGUUUGCUUCCCUUUCACAGUGAGGAGACUCGACUUUGAACCCUGAUAAAUGUUGAUGCCCUGCUUUUAUCUGGUCUCAGCUGUGCUGCUGAAAUAAAAAA